AUACGUAGGUGACAAGCGUUAUCCGGAUUUACUGGGCGUAAAGGGCGUGUAGGCGGUCUUGCAAGUCAGAAGUGAAAUUCCUGAGCUCAACUCGGGCGCUGCUUCUGAAACUGCAGGACUUGAGUGCUGGAGGGGAUAGCGGAAUUCCUAGUGGAGCGGUAAAAUGCGCAGAUAUUAGGAAGAACACCGGUGGCGAAGGCGGCUAUCUGGACAGUAACUGACGCUGAGGCGCGAAAGCGUGGGGAGCAAACAGGAUUAGAUACCCUGGUAGUCCGUGCCGUAAACGAUGAAUACUAGGUGUAGGGGGUAUCGACUCCCUCCGUGCCGCAGUUAACACAUUAAGUAUUCCACCUGGGGAGUACGGCCGCAAGGUUGAAACUCAAAUGAAUUGACGGGG
rnacentral:rRNA from 1 species